UGAACACAACAGGUGGUAUCUAG
rnacentral:miRNA from 1 species